rnacentral:rRNA from 1 species
CGUGAACGCUGGCGGUAGGCCUAACACAUGCAAGUCGAACGGCAGCACAGUAAGAGCUUGCUCUUACGGGUGGCGAGUGGCGGACGGGUGAGGAAUACAUCGGAAUCUACUUUUUCGUGGGGGAUAACGUAGGGAAACUUACGCUAAUACCGCAUACGACCUACGGGUGAAAGCAGGGGAUCUUCGGACCUUGCGCGAUUGAAUGAGCCGAUGUCGGAUUAGCUAGUUGGCGGGGUAAAGGCCCACCAAGGCGACGAUCCGUAGCUGGUCUGAGAGGAUGGUCAGCCACACUGGAACUGAGACACGGUCCAGACUCCUACGGGAGGCAGCAGUGGGGAAUAUUGGACAAUGGGCGCAAGCCUGAUCCAGCCAUACCGCGUGGGUGAAGAAGGCCUUCGGGUUGUAAAGCCCUUUUGUUGGGAAAGAAAAGCAGCAGGUUAAUACCCCGCUGUUCUGACGGUACCCAAAGAAUAAGCACCGGCUAACUUCGUG